UACAGAGGAGCCAAGCGUUGUCCGGAUUGACUGGGCGUAAAGCGCACGCAGGCGGGGGUGCGCGUGGGGUGUGAAAUCUGGCCGCUUAACGGCCAGGCGCCAUCCCAUACGGCACGCCUGGAGCCUUGCAGAGGUCGGUGGAAUUGCCGGUGUAGUGGUGAAAUGCGCAGAUAUCAGGAGGAACACCGGUGGCGAAGGCGGGACUCUGGGCCGAUACUGACGCUGAGGAGCGAAAGCGUGGGGAGCGAACAGG
rnacentral:rRNA from 1 species